UAUCGGGUCAAACAUGUUUCCUGCUAGUGCAU
rnacentral:piRNA from 1 species